GACCCGCCCUCACGGCACCCGAGGCGGGACCGCUGUCUGCCGCCGCAUCCCCGCCGCGACGGGCAGCUCAAAGUCGGCUUAGUUGUGCUCCGCGCCGCCGCCCGCUGCUCCGGCACCAUGUCCCUCUGCAGGGCCGCCUCGCAGGCGCUGGCCUCCCGCCUGAGCAGGGCUCCUGCCGCCGCCGGCCGCCUCAAGCAGCGUGCACCUCCUCGCCAGAUGUCAUCUGGGAGUGUUCCUGGCUCUUCUAGAGACAGCAUGAUGAUCUAUCUCCUUGCUGGUGUUGCUGCUUUUGGUGGUUUAUUUUAUGCCUACAGAGUAGUCAGUUCAUCCCGCAGCAAGUUUGUUGAACAUUCAAGUAUUCUUCGUGAGAGAACCGAGGGGCAGAACAGCAAUCCUUGGUCAAGGAAGGAAGGUGAUGGAGAAGAGGUGCAUGAAGUCACUGAAGCAGAGAAGGCCACGGAAAAAGCUGAUGCAGCAGCUGCUGUUGGACCUGCAGCACAGGAUGAGAGUGCUGGACCCAGAGUACAGGAUGAGACUUCUGGGGUAUCUCCAGAAGCUGGAGGGGAGAAUGACUUACUGCCUCCAGAAGUAUCCCAUGCUAUGGAGGAAGAACAGCAGGAAGCUGCUGCUAAUUCAGAAGCUGCUGCUAAUUUGGAACUUGCUGCUAAUUCAGAAGCUGCUGCAGUUCAAGUUUCUGAGGAGGAGAAGACAACUGAAGAAGUUGCUAAAGAGCCCUAAAGUAAGCAGAGUGGACACCUUUGGAAAGUUUAAUGCAAAUAUUUGUGGCAAUCAACCAGCUGAUUCCGGUGUGAAACCUCAUACUCUUCCUUGAAGACAUAAAAGAAACUCUGCAGUUUGUCCCACCCACACAUUGGCCAUUAUGGCCAGUAUUCAGUGCUGCAAGAGAUGAUUUGCAUUGCCUAGAGAAAUGCUUCUGUGACUAACAACUCUGCUGUAGAGAGUAGCUUCCAGUCAAGCCACUCAGCAUGUCCUAAAUACAUGUGCUAAGAGAAGCAGUAGACUUAACUAAACCAUGCCAUAUGAACUCCUUCUAUGUCAUUGUUGUCCUGAUAUGUACAUUGAUUCCUUACUUUUGGUCCAAACUAUUGUGUGUAGUUAUACCUUUGUAACAUUCCAUGCUAAAAUGUAAACAAAAGGUUUUAAAAUCAAGUCAAAAUAUUACAAAACUACAUGUUAGCAUUUUAAAAUUGGAUCACAGGGAAAAUAACAACGUGUUUGCUCCUGAGUUUGGAUUUGUGAUUGUAAGCAUAAGACAUCUGGCUGUGCAUGACCUAAUUUUCCCCCUGCAUAAAUAUUUCAGAUGAUACCACUCCUUGCACAGUAACAUCUAGGAGUAAACAUUUUAAGGCUCCUGCUUCGGGAAGAAAACCUGUUUGCAGGUAGUAGCCAUAGGUACUUUAUAAGUGGUGGCUGGCUCCUGCCUUGGGUGUGCUGGGCUCUGCUCCUCCCAAAUCUCGUUCAGCUUGCUGUGGUCUUUCUGUGUUGCUCUGUCUUGGCAGUGGCAUAUACUGGUAGUGUAACAACACAAAAGUUUGGUAGAAGCUUUCAAACUGGUACAAAUUACAAGCCCUUUAGGCCAUGGCAAAGCCUGUCUCUAACCACUUGCACACAGAGAGCAAAAUCCCUGUGAAGGGCUAUUCAACAGGUGUUCAAAUGGACAGGCAUUCUUAGGGACUAAGAAAGAACCAAACAGCUAAAUGGCCUUGUUUUCUCAGUAUUAGCUUCACAAAAAUUACAUUUAUUAUGAAUAACAGGUUUGAAUGCCACUGUGCUCCCAACCUUCAUGUGCUACAUGCAUGAGCAUGCAUCUGAGACCCCAUUUCAGCCAUCACAGAAUGGCAAUGAUUCUAAACCAGAGCCAAAUAAGGUAUAUUAUGUACUAUUUAUAUAGAAAGUGUGUUGCAUAAGGUGUGUCUGACUCUUUUCUCUUCAAGAAGAAGUUUGGAAAAUGUUGAAAGGGAAACGACAGCAUUAAUGACAUUCCUACCCACAGCACAAAGCAACACAUGCUCCUUCCCCCAUCAUAAAGCAAAUUAUAAUAGUGUUCCAACAAAGAUAUAGCCUGUUGCUCCUGGAUCUACUUAGGAAUAACUGGAAUAAUGCAAAGGCAAAAGCAGGCUCCUGAGCUUCAAGAAGACAAACCACAGCCUUCUGCUUAAAGGAUAAAGCCUCUGUGAUUAAAAGCAGUUUUUGUAGACCAAGCUACUGGAAUAAAAAUCUUAGACUAAUAUUUUGUUGGAUAAGAGUCUAUAUUUAUCUUGUAGAUUAAAAAUGCUGUGAUGGAUGUAUGCACUUAAAUUUUCUAUUUCUUCAUUUUCACAAAUUACUAGUAAAAGAAGCUAUUUUAACUGCAUCUAACAGUAGUUUCUCAAAUGGUAGGCUUUUCUGAAUGGCUCUUUAUCUCUGGAACUGCUCUGGUACAUGGCAAAAUAUGUUAGCCCCCUGGAACAGCUGCCUUAAUGACUGAAUCACAAACUAUGGUUUCCAAAAUGUAGGGUUUUUUCAUCCUUUCACUUUCAAAAAAUUGUGAGAAUCCCAAAACAGCCUGUAGAUGUGCUUUAUGCCAGAGUUCUUCUUUUUUUGCUUUUGUAUUGUUUAGGUUUUCUUAAUUAAAAAAAAAAAAAAAAAAAAAAAAAAA
ensembl:lncRNA